CCCACCUGUUAAAGUGCCUGAGGCUCCCAAAGAAGUUGUCCCUGAAAAGAAGGUGUCUGUGGCACUUCCUAAAAAGCCAGAAGUCCCACCUGUUAAAGUGCCUGAAGUUCCUCAAGAAAUUGUCCCUGAAAAGAAAGCACCAG